rnacentral:lncRNA from 1 species
UGGUCCUGACCUGACCUGUAUGUACCUGGUCCUGACCUGUAUGUACCUGGUCCUGACCUGUACGUACCUGGUCCUGACCUGUUUGUACCUGGUCCUGACCUGUAUGUACCUGGUCCUAACCUGACCUGUAUGUACCUGGUCCUAACCUGUAUGUACCUGGUCCUGACCUGUAUGUACCUGGUCCUGACCUGUAUGUACCUGGUCCUGACCUGUUUGUACCUGGUCCUGACCUGUAUGUACCUGGUCCUGACCUGUUUGUACCUGGUCCUGACCUGUUUGUACCUGGUCCUGACCUGUAUGUACCUGGUCCUGACCUGUAUGUACCUGGUCCUAACCUGACCUGUAUGUACCUGGUACUGACCUGUAUGUACCUGGUCCUGACCUGUAUGUACCUGGUCCUGACCUGUUUGUACCUGGUCCUGACCUGUAUGUACCUGGUCCUGACCUGUAUGUACCUGGUCCUGACCUGACCUGUAUGUACCUGGUCCUGACCUGUUUGUACCUGGUCCUGACCUGACCUGUUUGUACCUGGUCCUGACCUGUUUGUACCUGGUCCUGACCUGUAUGUACCUGGUCCUCACCUGUUUGUACCUGGUCCUGACCUGACCUGUAUGUACCUGGUCCUGACCUGUAUGUACCUGGUCCUGACCUGUAUGUACCUGGUCCUGACCUGUAUGUACCUGGUCCUAACCUGACCUGUAUGUACCUGGUCCUGACCUGUAUGUACCUGGUCCUGAUCUGUAUGUACCUGGUCCUGACCUGUAUGUACCUGGUCCUGACCUGUAUGUACCUGGUCCUAACCUGACCUGUAUGUACCUGGUCCUGACCUGUAUGUACCUGGUCCUAACCUGUUUGUACCUGGUCCUGACCUGUAUGUACCUGGUCCUAACCUGACCUGUAUGUACCUGGUCCUGACCUGUUUGUACCUGGUCCUGACCUGUAUGUACCUGGUCCUGACCUGUAUGUACCUGGUCCUGACCUGUAUGUACCUGGUCCUGACCUGACCUGUAUGUACCUGGUUCUGACCUGUACGUACCUGGUCCUGACCUGACCUGUAUGUACCUGGUCCUGACCUGUAUGUACCUGGUCCUAACCUGGCCUGUAUGUACCUGGUCCCGACCAGGUGGUUUAGUUUAAUGACCAGGUGGUUUAGUUUAAUGACCAGGUGGUGGCUAGUUUAAUGACCAGGUGGUUUAGUUUAAUGACCAGGUGGUUUAGUUUAAUGACCAGGUGGUUUAGUUUAAUGACCAGGUGGUGGCUAGUUUAAUGACCAGGUGGUGGCUAGUUUAAUGACCAGGUGGUUUAGUUUAAUGACCAGGUGGUGGCUAGUUUAACGACCAGGUGGUGGCUAGUUUAAUGACCAGGUGGUGGCUAGUUUAAUGACCAGGUGGUGGCUAGUUUAAUGACCAGGUGGUUUAGUUUAAUGACCAGGUGGUGGCUAGUUUAAUGACCAGGUGGUGGCUAGUUUAAUGACCAGGUGGUGGCUAGUUUAAUGACCAGGUGGUGGCUAGUUUAAUGACCAGGUGGUGGCUAGUUUAAUGACCAGGUGGUUUAGUUUAAUGACCAGGUGGUGGCUAGUUUAAUGACCAGGGGGUUUAGUUUAAUGACCAGGUGGUUUAGUUUAAUGACCAGGUAGUGGCUAGUUUAAUGACCAGGUGGUUUAGUUUAAUGACCAGGUGGUGGCUAGUUUAAUGACCAGGUGGUGGCUAGUUUAAUGACCAGGUGGUGGCUAGUUUAAUGACCAGAUGGUGGCUAGUUUAACGACCAGGUGGUGGCUAGUUUAAUGACCAGGUGGUGGCUAGUUUAACGACCAGGUGGUGGCUAGUUUAAUGACCAGGUGGUUUAGUUUAAUGACCAGGUGGUGGCUAGUUUAAUGACCAGGUGGUUUAGUUUAAUGACCAGGUGGUGGCUAGUUUAAUGACCAGGUGGUGGCUAGUUUAAUGACCAGGUGGUUUAGUUUAAUGACCAGGUGGUGGCUAGUUUAAUGACCAGGUGGUGGCUAGUUUAAUGACCAGGUGGUGGCUAGUUUAACGACCAGGUGGUGGCUAGUUUAAUGACCAGGAGGUUUAGUUUAAUGACCAGGUGGUUUAGUUUAAUGACCAGGUGGUUUAGUUUAAUGACCAGGUAGUGGCUAGUUUAAUGACCAGGUGGUGGCUAGUUUAAUGACCAGGUGGUUUAGUUUAAUGACCAGGUGGUUUAGUUUAAUGACCAGGUGGUUUAGUUUAAUGACCAGGUAGUGGCUAGUUUAAUGACCAGGUGGUGGCUAGUUUAAUGACCAGGUGGUUUAGUUUAAUGACCAGGUGGUUUAGUUUAAUGACCAGGUGGUGGCUAGUUUAACGACCAGGUGGUGGCUAGUUUAAUGACCAGGUGGUGGCUAGUUUAAUGACCGGGUGGUUUAGUUUAAUGACCAGGUGGUGGCUAGUUUAACGACCAGGUGGUGGCUAGUUUAAUGACCAGGUGGUUUAGUUUAAUGACCAGGUGGUGGCUAGUUUAAUGACCAGGUGGUGGCUAGUUUAAUGACCAGGUAGUGGCUAGUAUAACAACAGGUGAGUUACCCUUAUGACCCUCUACGAUAGACAUUCAGUUGUUCAGCUAGGGAGGAAUGCGUCACAAAUGGUACCCUAUAUAGUGCAGUACUUUUGACAAGGGCCCAUAGGUAGUGCACUAUGUAGGGAAUAGGGUGCCAUUUGGGAAUCCCUCAAGAGAUGUCCACAGGACACAGUGGAGUCAGUGCAGAACCAGUUCCUGAUUAUCGUGUGUAUAAUGUGUGUAUAAACAUGUAUAAACUGCUUAAUAAACAUGUAUAAACUGCUUAAUAAACAUGUAUAAACUGCUUAAUAAACAUGUAUAAACUGCUUACUAAACAUGUGUAAACUGCUUAAUAAACAUGUAUAAACUGCUUAAUAAACAUGUAUAAACUGCUUAAUAAACAUGUGUAAACAGCUUACUAAACAUGUAUAAACUGCUUAAUAAACAUGUAUAAACUGCUUAAUAAACAUGUAUAAACAGCUUACUAAACAUGUAUAAACUGCUUACUAAACAUGUAUAAACUGCUUACUAAACAUGUAUAAACUGCUUAAUAAACAUGUGUAAACUGCUUAAUAAACAUGUAUAAACUUAUAAUAACAGUCAUGGUUGAGUAGUUGACUUUAAAGGACCCAGAGAGUUACAUAGACAGAGGACCUUCAGUAUGCUGGACAACACUGGAAACAUGUUGGGCUCAAUAUACAUCAUCAUGGUAUAUUAUCUUAUAUAGUAAGUUAUCUUAUGUUAUACGCUUUGUAACAGAGCACCAUUACGUUUUAGUACUUUUUUCAAAGCUGGCUGGUUUGUUUACAAGUUCAUAUCAAGAGUGCUGGAGAUUCAGCCCGACUUUAAAAUAACACAGAAUCUAAGUGCUACAUUUCCUGAAAGCCCCGUAAAUGUAAACAUGUAUACAGAUGAACAUAAUAAACUGUCCAUAGCUGGUAAUAUUACAAGAGGCAAUAGUAUCAAAACAUUCCACCAAAAAGACUUGAAAGAGUAUUAAACAGUUUUAAAUAAUUCAUAUUAAAUAGUUAUCCUUCAGCAUCUUUUAGUGAUGUCGUUUUUUUUUUGAUCAAUUUAUAAUUCCUUGAAAGAAUCCUAGAUAUUUUUUUUUUAGAUCCGACAAAAUAUUUAAUUCAUGGUUUCCUCUAUUACAGUGGUCGCCAACCUUUUUUCAGAGUCAAAAUGCAAGCUGAGAUCAACCGUAAGCCUAUGCAACAUUAACCAAUUUAAAAACAGUUCUGGAUCAAUGAACCUCAUUCAUGAACCUCAUUGAUCCAGAACUGUUUUUUAAUUGGUUAAUGUACAGUAGUAAGCUAUAGGCUCAAUACAUUAUCACUGUAUACUGGCUAUGCUUGACUUGCCCUGCCAAUGUUAUUCUUCUGGGACCAUUUUGACAUUUUAUAUAUAAAAUGUUGGUAUAUGAUCAAACUGGUAAUAGAUCAUUUGUUGUAUCACUUGUGAGGUUACAGCUGACUGAGCAUAAUCAUAUAAUUUUUUUUUUUUAUUGGACUGAUGACCUGCAUCUGAUGGUUAGUCUGAGAGGAGGGAGGGAGA